GGAUUAGAUACCCUGGUAGUCCACGCCGUAAACGAUGUCUACUAGCCGUUGGGGUCCUUGAGGCCUUAGUGGCGCAGCUAACGCAGUAAGUAGACCGCCUGGGGAGUACGGCCGCAAGGUUAAAACUCAAAUGAAUUGACGGGGGCCCGCACAAGCGGUGGAGCAUGUGGUUUAAUUCGAAGCAACGCGAAGAACCUUACCAGGUCUUGACAUCCAGAAAACUUAGCAGAGAUGCUUUGGUGCCUUCGGGAAUUCUGUGACAGGUGCUGCAUGGCUGUCGUCAGCUCGUGCCG
rnacentral:rRNA from 1 species